GACGAACGCUGGCGGCGUGCUUAACACAUGCAAGUCGAACGGUGAAGCCCUUCGGGGUGGCUCAGUGGCGAACGGGUGAGUAACACGUGAGCAACCUGCCCCUGGCUCUGGGACAACCACUGGAAACGGUGGCUAAUACCGGAUACGACCCGCCUCGGCAUCGAGUGUGGGUGGAAAGUUUUUCGGCUGGGGAUGGGCUCGCGGCCUAUCAGCUUGUUGGUGAGGUGAAGGCUCACCAAGGCGACGACGGGUAGCCGGCCUGAGAGGGCGACCGGCCACAUUGGGACUGAGACACGGCCCAGACUCCUACGGGAGGCAGCAGUGGGGAAUAUUGCACAAUGGGCGAAAGCCUGAUGCAGCGACGCCGCGUGAGGGAUGACGGCCUUCGGGUUGUAAACCUCUUUCAGCUCCGAAGAAGCGAAAGUGACGGUAGGAGCAGAAGAAGCACGGGCUAACUACGUG
rnacentral:rRNA from 1 species